rnacentral:rRNA from 1 species
CCCUUAGAUGUUCUGGGCGGCCCGCGCACUACAAUGGCGCUUUCAGCGAGUUCCUAUGUUGAAUUUUCCUGGGUAUUCUUGGAAGCGGCGUCUUGACUUGGGAUAGAUCCUUGUAAUUGUUGGUUUUGAACGAGGAAUUCCUUGUAAUCGCGGUUGAUCAGCUCGCGUUGAAUACGUCCCUGCCCUUUGUACACACCGUCCGUCGCUCCUACCGAUGAAUCGUCCGGUGAAGUUCACAGAGUGGCGGUUCGUGGAGUUGCUCGCGAAGUGAAAUGGACCUCACGAUUUAGAGGAAGGAGAAGUCGUAACA